UAUAAUUCUUGUUAUAGAUAAGUCAUUGUUAUUAAUUUGGAAAAUAGUUAGAAAACAGAACUUUUAUUAUAAAUAAAAACAUUGGAAACAACUUAGAGCUAUUUUCCAAAUGUUAGCUAAAAUUUAAAAAAUUAGAAAACUAAUUCUUAUGUUCUCCAUUUAGAAAAUCAACACAUGUGAACACAAAACUAUGCUAUUCAGGUCUCUUAGAAAACUUUUCUUGAAAGCUAACUCAGUUUUCUUCAAGUGAACAAGCCCUUAGUUUUAGAUUUUCUUCUCUUCCUAUCUCUCUUUCAUCAUUUUGGAUGAAAAAAAAAUACUGUACAAUAAAUCAAUAAAAAUGACUAUAUCAUAAAUGACUUGAAAUAGCAAAACUAUUAAGGCAUUGUUAAUAUCACUUGCAUUUACAAUUCUAAAUUGUGCGACAAUUCUUUAUUCUCAUGCACAUUUGUGUGGCUGGUAGAAUUCUUUUUUAGCUAAACCAUUAAUAAUAGUGUGAGUUCUCUUUAUUAAAAAGGAAGAUUUUGAACUUUUCAUCACAUCAUUGAACACCAAAUUGCAUUUUGGUGUUCUAAAUAAGUAGCAAAGAUGAUGUAAAAUUGUAGGAUAUAAAAUAUUACUUUAGUUACUAAUAUAAAUAUAAUAGUUCAAACUUUAUCGUCAACCAAAAUUAUUUUCCAUAGUUAUCCGCUACUAUUUGCGUUGAAAUAGCCUCAUAUCAAACCUUAUUGAGGAAUACGUUAAUACUCUAUUCUUUUUGUGAUUACUCGAGUCAUGACAACUUAUGUCUUCCACCAAGAGAGUUUUUGCUGCAUGUUAUUAUACAAUAAAAUGGUUUAAGUAUAACAUUAGAGUAAUGCAUGAACAAUGGUACUUUACUCAUGCACAUGCACGUUUAUUGACAAAGUUUCAAGUUGCUGGUUUUUUAGUCAUGCUUGUACGUUAGUGUAUAAUCACUCUUAGUAUAUCUUAAUAAUGGCUUGAGUGGAGAAAUUUAUAACAGUUCAGGGGAAAAGAAAACAAAAGAAGUAUAACACAAGGAGUCAUGUGUUGAAUGACGCUGAAACUCAAUAUCAUUUUUGAGAUUACACUCCUGGAUAUAAUUCAAGAAAUUGAUGGACAACUAGAAAAUAUUACUACAGUUUUAAUAGAGAAUGAUAUCUGCUAAUCAGUAAACCUUUUAACAGGGGAUUCUUUUGAAAAGAAUGCAUGAUUACUUUUGAUGUCUUGAAUCCUAGAAAAGACCCAACGGAAACAAUCCUCUAACUUCUUAAAAUUAAUGAGAUUCUUGUACAGUGAUUCUAGUGUCAGCAAACACACACCAGCGCAAAACAAAAGGAAAAUAAUAUCUUAGAUUAAUUCACCAUUUAUUAAUUGGUACAUAAGACUAAUAUAGUAUAGGUAUUUCAUAUUAUACGUGUAGUCCUCUUUUAUACGUACAAAAUAUUUACUUUAUUCCCCUGAACCUCCCCCUUUUCAUAAAGGUUUAAAUAAUAGCAAUAACUUUGAGAGAGGAAAAUUUACAAUGGAAGAAUAUGGGCUAUUGGAGACAAAGGCUUAAGGGUUUAAGUUCAAAUAAACCGUUAUAUUGUUAAAUAAAUAUUAAAAAAUUAUUAAUAAUAAUACUUUUUAUAAUUAAUGCUUCGUGUAUUUUAUAAAUAAUUUCUAAAAUAUAUUUAGCUAAAUUUUACUUUGUGAAUAUUAUUUUAUUUUAAUUAAAAUUUUAAAUAAUAAUAUUUAAUUAUUAUAAUAAGUUUAAUGGAAAUCAAAUGUAAAUAUGUUGUAUAUUUUUGUCCUUGUUAGAUAGCUUGAUUCUAGGGCUUAAUUUUGAGUUUGCUGGAAAUGUGUAAAGAAGGAAAAACUAGAAAAGAGAAUAAUAAAGACACCUAGUGGUGGGAUAGAGAACACUCACCUCCACAACAAGAGUACCGACUUUAAUACCAUGAAGGAUGUUAGAAUUUAGAUAAUUCUUAUUUGGUUGUGUGUUAUAGUGAGGAAAUACAAGGUAUUUAUACAUGCUUGUAGCCUAAAUUAGGAAACUACACUAACUACUCAAUCACAGUAAUUUAUAGAAAUUAAGCUAAUCAAAUCAGACAAAUCAUCCUGUAAUCUUGCUCUAGGCAACAUUCUUUUAAUCUAUUUUUUCAAAAUUUUUCAAUAUCACGUAGAAUAUUUGGUCGAGAUUUGAAGAAAAAUGCAAUGGAUUAAGAAAUUUUCAGCCAAGGUUAACUCUUUCGUUUUCGUCUUGCCUUAGGUAACCAAGCAGCUCCUUCCUAUUUAGUUAAACUUGUGCUGAUGCCUUUACUUUUGAUACUAUUAUGAUUCCCCUAAAUUCUCGCUUGAAGGUGGAGAUGGGGGUUGUUACAUAUCCAGCCUGCAGUGCCAUUUGAAACAGAGAAAUAGGGAGAGGAAAGGAGAGGAAUAGAUUAGAUUGAGAAAAGAAACAGAAAGGGGAGGAGGUUUAGAGAGAAAAUAGAGAUGGAGAGAUUUUUUAUAUUUGAUUCUUAAAUGAAUCUUCCUUGAUACAAUAUGUAUUCCUGUAAAGAAAUAACUAUUCCUGCCACUAUCUAACUAAUUCCCUACUAACUUCUAUACUCUUCUUUUAUUACAAUUUCAGCCCCAAAGUCCCUUAUUUAUUUGCAACAUCAUCAUUCUCCUUGUCAUAACAUUCCCCACUUCUUGAAAUCAUUACGUUCAGCACACAUUACUAUUAGGAACUGUAAUGAAAUUCAAUGUUCAAAACUACUAUACUGAAACUGGCCUUCCUUUCUUCAUAUUUGCCUUUCUUUCUUUGCCAUUUCCAACUUCCAAACAUAUCUUCUUUCAGAAUUACAUGCAACUCCUGUCAAGAUUACUUUAUGCUUCUUCCUUCUUAAUAUCUCCCAUUUAUCCAUCAUGGAGAUUAGGAAUUCACAAUAAUAGAACUCAACGUCAUGGUCUUCAAAAUAUUGCCACUUACUUGCAACAUUCCCUGUUUCUUCAAUUGCUUUAGCUUUUUCUUCAUGAGAAACCUUCUCAUGAAUCUCAACAAUGGAAGCAUCCCAUUCCCUAUUAACUUGUACAAAUCCAAAUUUUUUUAAUGGCACCACCAGCGCUUUUGCUAAAAUUUCAAUAUAGCCAAGAUUAAGAAUAAUACCUUGGGCUCCUGGAUUUGAAGGUUGCACUAUGUUGUUGAAGUCUUUCAUUUCCCCAUCAAUAACAAGAAACUUACUAGCCCCCAAUUUUUGUUCUAAGCCAUCAAUUUUACUCUCUUGAAUUGGUAAGCCCGCCUCACCUCCAUCGCUCCAAAAAGUCCCAAUUUUAUGGACUUUGUGGUGUGCAACUAAAUCAGUAGUAACCCUAGAGCAAUCAUGUUCCUUGCCCUCGUUGUAAACCCUUCACCAUGCACUUUGCUGGAGGCUUCAUCGUUUGAAACGCCUUCAUCUUUCUUUUUUUCAAGAACAUUUCCAAGAGUUUGGGAAUGAGUAGCAAAACAUUAAACUUUGGGAAUGAGUAGUGCAAAAACUUCAGAUCCAACUAAUAUUGUCCUCAUUUCAGACCCUAGUUGCCCAUCAUCACCAUCUUCAUCAUUUUCCUCCUGAUAGACAUCACUUAUAUUGGACAUAUCAACAAAAAACUCCUGCUCAUCAACAGAAUUUGCCUCCUGCAUAAUCUCAGUGUUAACAUUCUCCUCUCCAUCACCAAUAAUGUCAACAUCUUCCGCCUCUCGAUCACCAACAAUAUCACCAUCUUCCUCUUCUCCAUCACCAACAAUAUUAUCAUCUUCUUCUUCUCUAUCACCAAUCGAACUCUUCCUUUUUUCCCAUCAUCAAACAACUGAGUUUCACCCUUAACACCAAAUUGCCUUAUUUCUCCUUGCAAUCCCAUUUCCUAGCCAUUAUUCCAAGGAUUCUCAGAUUCUUGGUCUUGGAUAUGGACAUUCAAUUCGGAUUCAGACCCCUGGAGUUCUGUUUUCACUUGAAUCGACUUCUCAAAAUUUUCCAUUUUCUUUUCCCAAUCUUUCUAAAAUUUCAAGCAUACCCAGAAGAAUCUCGUCUAAUUCCAUUUCUGCUGUUGGUAUUUUCACAAAAAGCAAAGAAAUUGAAGGAGGAAACUAGAGGAUAAAUAGUCUCAAGAGCAAGAAAGAACAGAAGAAGGAAAAAGAUUCAAGAAGAUCAAGAAUAGAGAAGAAUUUCAAGAAAGAAAGCAGGAAGUGGAGGACGAAAGAGGGGUUUCCAAAAUUGAAGAAAGUAACCCUAACUUCAGUGUCCUUCGGAAAGAAGAAAUUAGGAAAGGAGGAAGCGGAUUACCAGAAGAAAGGAAGAAGAGCAGAAACAGGGUUCUGCUAAGAAGAAGAAGAAACAGAGAAAUAACAGUAGGAAAGAGAUGGAAGAAAUUUCUGUUUAAGAAAGGUAGAAAAUUCUGGAAAACAAAGAAGGAAGGAAUAGAGAAAGAAGGAGAAGAAUUCUCAGGGGAAGAAGAAGAAAGAUUCUGUCAAGAAGAAAGAGAGAGAAAGAAAUUUGAGGAGGAAGAAAGAAGAAUUAGAGGAAAGAAGGCAGAAUAGAAGAAGAAAGACAGCAGGAGAAACCCAUAACUUGGAGGACUGCUACUGAUCUGCGCCUGAUUGCAGCUCCCAGAAAUUUAUUUGGAAGCAAAGCCCAUCCUCGACAAAGCUGAUACCAAUUGUUACAUAUCAAGCCUGCAAUGCCAUUUGAAACAGAGAAAUAGGGAGAGGAAAGGAGAAGAAUAGAUUGGAUUGAGAAAAGAAACAGAAAGGGGAGGAGGUUUAGAGAGAAAAUAGAGAAGAGAUAUUUCUUAUAUUUGAUUCUUGAAUGAAUCUUCCUUGAUACAAGCUACCCUAUUUAUAUGUAUCAUGGUAAAGAAAUAACUAUUCCUACCACUAUCUAACUAAUUCCCUACUAACUUCUAUACUCCUCUUUUAUUACAAUUUCAGCCCCAAAGUCCCUUAUUCAUUUGCGACAUCCAUCGUUCUCCUUAUCAUAACAGUGGGUCAAUGAGCCAUGUUUUGUGAUUGAUUCCAGAGUAAUUGACAAAACCUUCAGAAAAGGAACAAUUAUUGCUAUAUUGAGUACAAGGUGCCUACUUGGCUUACAUUGGCUUAGAAUCCAUAUGCAAGGUGUUGAAUCAGUGGAAACUAGUGAACAAUGUGGAGGAUUCUGAGAAAGUAGUGGUAUAGUGGUGAAUUGGAGAAAUAGAGUAGGUAAGAGACAUAGAAAAGUUGACCAGUAACAAACUUAAUAGACUGAUUGAGCAGUUUGGUGGAAGAGAAGAAAUCAUGCUAGGGCCAAUUUGGCCUGACCUUGAUCUACCAAAGCAUCAUCACCUAGCUAAGAAAAC
rnacentral:lncRNA from 1 species